rnacentral:rRNA from 1 species
GUCGAGCGGACAGAUGGGAGCUUGCUCCCUGAUGUUAGCGGCGGACGGGUGAGUAACACGUGGGUAACCUGCCUGUAAGACUGGGAUAACUCCGGGAAACCGGGGCUAAUACCGGAUGGUUGUUUGAACCGCAUGGUUCAAACAUAAAAGGUGGCUUCGGCUACCACUUACAGAUGGACCCGCGGCGCAUUAGCUAGUUGGUGAGGUAACGGCUCACCAAGGCAACGAUGCGUAGCCGACCUGAGAGGGUGAUCGGCCACACUGGGACUGAGACACGGCCCAGACUCCUACGGGAGGCAGCAGUAGGGAAUCUUCCGCAAUGGACGAAAGUCUGACGGAGCAACGCCGCGUGAGUGAUGAAGGUUUUCGGAUCGUAAAGCUCUGUUGUUAGGGAAGAACAAGUACCGUUCGAAUAGGGCGGUACCUUGACGGUACCUAACCAGAAAGCCACGGCUAACUACGUGCCAGCAGCCGCGGUAAUACGUAGGUGGCAAGCGUUGUCCGGAAUUAUUGGGCGUAAAGGGCUCGCAGGCGGUUUCUUAAGUCUGAUGUGAAAGCCCCCGGCUCAACCGGGGAGGGUCAUUGGAAACUGGGGAACUUGAGUGCAGAAGAGGAGAGUGGAAUUCCACGUGUAGCGGUGAAAUGCGUAGAGAUGUGGAGGAACACCAGUGGCGAAGGCGACUCUCUGGUCUGUAACUGACGCUGAGGAGCGAAAGCGUGGGGAGCGAACAGGAUUAGAUACCCUGGUAGUCCACGCCGUAAACGAUGAG